rnacentral:rRNA from 1 species
GACGAACGCUGGCGGCGUGCUUAACACAUGCAAGUCGAGCGGUAAGGCCCUUUCGGGGGUACACGAGCGGCGAACGGGUGAGUAACACGUGGGUGACCUGCCCUUAGCUCUGGGAUAAGCCUGGGAAACUGGGUCUAAUACCGGAUAUGACUCCAUAACGCAUGUUGUGGGGUGGAAAGCCUUGUGCGGCUAGGGAUGGGCCCGCGGCCUAUCAGCUUGUUGGUGGGGUGAUGGCCUACCAAGGCGACGACGGGUAGCCGGCCUGAGAGGGCGACCGGCCACACUGGGACUGAGACACGGCCCAGACUCCUACGGGAGGCAGCAGGUGGGGAAUCUUGC